AACCACACUGGCCAUUGUGGGAUGCGUAUACCUGUGAACUCCCUAUUCUUUUGUCUGGGAGCAGAGAUGGGACAAACCAACCACCCUGGGUCCCCAGAAGACCCAUUCUAUGAGUCUAGAGGCAGCUCAUAUGAUCCUUCGUCAGUGGCCCACCAUCUACCGAAGAAUCUGGCUCCACUUCCUGACGAAGGAGGUGAUGUGGAAGAUGUAAGUGGAGGCUGACAUGCAUACCCAGCACAGAAGCAGGAGUGGACCGGGCCAGCUAGGCUGCCUGGAGAAGUCAAGAUGGUUGGAGCAAAAGUUCGUCUGUGGCCCCUGAAAACACAAACACGAAGAUCGAGCCUUCAAAACUAUUUUUAGCAGAUGAACAUCGGACCAGGCGGGUUCUGGAGUGUUCCUGCAUUCACACAUACCUGCGGCCUGGGUAUCAGAAGAAGUGUG